rnacentral:rRNA from 1 species
AACUUAUCAGGUCAAGACAUGGGCGUGAUUGACAGGCUAAUGACUUUUCUCGAUUCCAUGGAUGGUGGUGCAUGGUCGCACUUAGUUGGUGCAGUGAUUUGUCAGGUUUAUUCCGGUAACGAACGAGACCUCGGCCUUGUAAAUAGCUAUGCUGCUUACAGGGACAUUGGCGGCUACGCCAAGGAAGCUCGAGGCAAUUGCAGAUCUGGAAUGCCCUUAGAUGUCCUGGGUCGCACGCGUGCUACAAUGACGCCACGAACGAGCUUGCGUGAUGAAAGUUACGCAUAAUCAGCAGUCGGCGUCUUAAGGGAUAGUCUCUUGUAACUGUGGGACUCCAACUAGGAAUGUCUCGUAAGCACAAGUCAACAUCUUGUGUUGAUUACGUCCCUGCUCUUUGUACACACCGCCCGUCGCUCCUACCGAUCGAGUGUUUAGGUGAAUUUGAUGGACGUAAGGAAGUCAAAUAAACCUGAGCACUAGAGAAGGAGAAGUUGAUCAGU